rnacentral:rRNA from 1 species
UACGUAGGCAGCGAGCGUUGUUCGGAGUUACUGGGCGUAAAGGGUGCGUAGGCGGUUUUCCAAGUUUGGUGUGAAAUCUCCCGGCUCAACUGGGAGGGUGCGCCGAAAACUGGAGGACUGGAGUACCGGAGAGGUAAGCGGAAUUCCUGGUGUAGCGGUGAAAUGCGUAGAGAUCAGGAGGAACACCUAUUGCGAAGGCAGCUCGCUGGGACGUAACUGACGCUGAGACGCGAAAGCGUGGGGAGCAAACAGG